rnacentral:rRNA from 1 species
AGUGAACGCUGGCGGUAGGCCUAACACAUGCAAGUCGAACGGCAGCACAGUAAGAGCUUGCUCUUACGGGUGGCGAGUGGCGGACGGGUGAGGAAUACAUCGGAAUCUACUUUUUCGUGGGGGAUAACGUAGGGAAACUUACGCUAAUACCGCAUACGACCUACGGGUGAAAGCAGGGGAUCUUCGGACCUUGCGCGAUUGAAUGAGCCGAUGUCGGAUUAGCUAGUUGGCGGGGUAAAGGCCCACCAAGGCGACGAUCCGUAGCUGGUCUGAGAGGAUGGUCAGGCACACUGGAACUGAGACACGGUCCAGACUCCUACGGGAGGCAGCAGUGGGGAAUAUUGGACAAUGGGCGCAAGCCUGAUCCAGCCAUACCGCGUGGGUGAAGAAGGCCUUCGGGUUGUAAAGCCCUUUUGUUGGGAAAGAAAAGCAGCAGGUUAAUACCCCGCUGUUCUGACGGUACCCAAAGAAUAAGCACCGGCUAACUUCGUG